GUACGCUGGCGGCACGCCUAACACAUGCAAGUCGAACGAAGUAGCAAUACUUAGUGGCAGACGGGUGAGUAACAUGUGGGUAUCUGCCCUUUGGCCUGGAAUAACACGAGGAAACUUGUGCUAAUACUGGAUAAGUCUUUACGGAGAAAGCUUUAUGCACCAUUGGAUGAGCCUGCACUUGAUUAGUUUGUUGGUGGGGUAAUGGCCUACCAAGACUGUGAUCAAUAGCUGAUUUGAGAGGAUGAUCAGCCACAUUGGGACUGAGACACGGCCCAAACUCCUACGGGAGGCAGCAGUGGGGAAUCUUGCACAAUGGAGGAAACUCUGAUGCAGCGAUGCCGCGUGAGUGAAGAAGGCCUUUGGGUUGUAAAGCUCUUUCGUCGGGGAAGAAAAUGACUGUACCCGAAUAAGAAGGUCCGG
rnacentral:rRNA from 1 species